AGGGGUAUAGCUCAGUGGUAGAGCACAUGCUUAGCAUGCACGAGGUCCUGGGUUCAAUCCCCAGUACCUCUA
rnacentral:tRNA from 1 species